rnacentral:rRNA from 1 species
AGCUCAAAUUUGAAAUCUGGCUCUUCUAGGGUCCGAGUUGUAAAUUAGAGAAGUGCUAUCCGUGCUGGCCUGUGCAAAAGUCUCUUGGAAAAGGGCAUCAUAGAGGGUGAUAAUCCCGUCUUUGGCACAGAUCCCAGGGCCCUUGUGAUACGCUUUCAAA